GGGGUUGUGGCUUAGUGGUAGAGCACAUUCCUUGCAUGUGUGAGGCCCUGGGUUUGAUCCUCAGCAAUAUAU
rnacentral:tRNA from 1 species